GUCUCUGUGGCGCAAUCGGUUAGCGCGUUCGGCUGUUAACCGAAAGGUUAGUGUUUCAAGCCCGCCCGGGAACG